rnacentral:rRNA from 1 species
CACGUAGGGUGCGAGCGUUGUCCGGAAUUAUUGGGCGUAAAGAGCUCGUAGGCGGUGUGUCGCGUCGGCCGUGAAAACCUGUGGCUUAACCAUGGGCUUGCGGUCGAUACGGGCAUCACUGGAGUUUGGCAGGGGAGACUGGAAUUCCUGGUGUAGCGGUGAAAUGCGCAGAUAUCAGGAGGAACACCGGUGGCGAAGGCGGGUCUCUGGGCCGAUACUGACGCUGAGGAGCGAAAGCGUGGGGAGCGAACAGG